rnacentral:misc_RNA from 1 species
AAAAAAAAAGAGAGAGAGAGAGAUUGAACUCGAAUUUCUAAUCCAACUUCUAUCAUAAACAAAAAACAAAUUUCAUUUUUCUUCACUUCCCUCAAAACGAAGUUGACUUGGAUUUCAGUUUUCAGUGCAGAAAGUUAACAUUCCUACCUAUGUAUUUGGAAAGUCUAAAAAUCAAUUGAAUUUUUUAUUUUUAUCAAAUUUUCAUGUUUCAAAAUUGCUAAAAUCUAAUUCUAAAUCAUUUUGAAAGAAAUAAAUUCAUGCUAAAAGUGGCAUGAUUUUGCAAAAUUUAAUUUAUUGAACAUAAUUUUCUAUUAAAGAUUCAAACCAUCCAUAUUUCAAUUAUAUUUAUUUCUAUAUAAAUAAAAAUAAAAUAUGAAAAUAAAUACAUUCAUUUUACUUAUCAAUUGUUUCAAAAAAUAUAAUUCAAAUGAAUUCUAUCAUUUU